UUGGCUGCUGGCCAGUCCGCACUGGGCUGCCUGAAAAAAGCAAUUACCGCCCCUGCGGUUUCAAGGCGGCCCCGCGCUCCACGAUGAAAGCAGAUAAGCAGGGCCGGUUUCAAGGCGGCCCCCACGGAGAGCCCCGCUGGCCCCCCGAGCCGCAGCAGAGUCAAGAGUGACUCAAUCAAAGGGAAUACGACCCCGGCGUGCAUGACCUCUUCCUCCGCGGCGAGGGAGCCACACAUCCCGGCAGCUUUUUUUCCCUCCUGCCGUCCAGCCCCGCGGCCAGCCGAGGCACGGUCCUCCCUAUAGUUCUGGAGGAGGUGUGGCGACUGCGCAGUGCGGUCUGUAUGUCACAAUCGAAUGAAAUAAAUGUAUAAAUAAAUCAUAAAAACAUCAUUUAUGGUGUUAAAUUCA